rnacentral:rRNA from 1 species
UGAGGAAUAUUGCGCAAUGGAGGCAACUCUGACGCAGCCACGCCGCGUGCAGGAAGACACCCCUCAGGGGCGUAAACUGCUUUUGUACGGGAAGAAUGCCCGGGUCACCCGGGAGCGACGGUACCGUACGAAUAAGGACCGGCUAACUCCGUGCCAGCAGCCGCGGUAAUACGGAGGGUCCAAGCGUUGUCCGGAAUCACUGGGUGUAAAGGGUGCGCAGGCGGGCCUGUAAGUCAGGGGUGAAAGCCACCGGCCUAACCGGUGAAUUGCCCUUGAUACUGCAGGUCUUGAAUCUCGGAGAGGCUAUCGGAAUUCGUGGUGUAGCGGUGAAAUGCGUAAAUAUCACGAGGAACACCAGAUGCGUAGGCGGAUAGCUGGACGAGUAUUGACGCUCAGGCACGAAAGCGUGGGGAGCGAACAGGAUUAGAUACCCCGGUAGUCC